rnacentral:rRNA from 1 species
CACGUAGGCGGACCGGAAAGUUGGGGGUGAAAUCCCGGGGCUCAACCCCGGAACUGCCUUCAAACUAUCGGUCUGGAGUUCGAGAGAGGUGAGUGGAAUUCCGAGUGUAGAGGUGAAAUUCGUAGAUAUUCGGAGGAACACCAGUGGCGAAGGCGGCUCACUGGCUCGAUACUGACGCUGAGGUGCGAAAGCGUGGGGAGCAAACA